UAAACUCUUCUGCUUUAUUUUACAGUUGCAAGAUAUUUCUGUUGGCUGAAGCAGGCUCUUCCCUUUCUCUGUUCAUUCAAUGCACACACACUCAGACUCAGAACUAGUAAAAAACUCCCCUAAUGGCCUUUCUAACAUAAAGCUGCAUGAUCCACAUCUUCUGCUUCAUCUACUGACCACACGCUUUCUCAUCAGGAAUUCUCUGACUCGCUGCCGUUGUGGGAGAAGUUCCGGACUGGCUGGGUGCUGCAUCAGUAGAUGGUCAGCAGCCUUCAUACCAGCUGCUACAAGUGGAGCACCACACUACUG